UUGAACGCUGGCGGAAUGCUUUACACAUGCAAGUCGAGCGGCAGCGCGGGGCAACCUGGCGGCGAGCGGCGAACGGGUGAGUAAUAUAUCGGAACGUACCCUGUCGUGGGGGAUAACACAUCGAAAGAUGUGCUAAUACCGCAUACGACCUGAGGGUGAAAGCGGGGGAUCGCAAGACCUCGCGCGAUAGGCGCGGCCGAUAUCGGAUUAGCUAGUUGGUGAGGUAAAGGCCUACCAAGGCGACGAUCCGUAGCGGGUCUGAGAGGAGGAUCCGCCACACUGGGACGGAGACACGGCCCAGACUCCUACGGGAGGCAGCAGUGGGGAAUUUUGGACAAUGGGGGCAACCCUGAUCCAGCCAUGCCGCGUGAGUGAAGAAGGCCUGCGGGUUGUAAAGCUCUUGCAGACGGAAAGAAAGCGGGUGGGUGAAGAGCCUGCCUGGAUGACGGUACUGUCAGAAGAAGCACCGGCUAACUACGU
rnacentral:rRNA from 1 species